rnacentral:tRNA from 1 species
AAAAAGAUAAGCUAAAUUAAGCUAAUAGGUUCAUACCCUAUUUAUAGACGCCACCUCUUCUUUUUA